rnacentral:rRNA from 1 species
GAUGAACGCUAGCUACAGGCUUAACACAUGCAAGUCGAGGGGCAGCAGGGCGAUAGCUUGCUAUUGCCGCUGGCGACCGGCGCACGGGUGAGUAACGCGUAUCCAACCUUCCCCUUAGUAGAGGAUAGCCCGGCGAAAGUCGGAUUAAUACUCUAUGUUGUAUUUUGAUGACAUCUGAGGAAUACCAAAGGUUCACCGCUAUGGGAUGGGGAUGCGUCUGAUUAGGUUGUUGGCGGGGUAACGGCCCACCAAGCCUGCGAUCAGUAGGGGUUCUGAGAGGAAGGUCCCCCACAUUGGAACUGAGACACGGUCCAAACUCC